rnacentral:tRNA from 1 species
UCCCUGGUGGCUCAGAUGGUAAAGAAUCUGCCUACAAUGCAGGAGACCUGGGUUCAAUUCCUGGGUUGGGAA